UACAGGGGGGGCAAGCGUUGUUCGGAAUUACUGGGCGUAAAGGGUCUGUAGGUGGCCAACUAAGUCAGACGUGAAAUCCCUCAGCUUAACUGGGGAAUUGCGUCUGAUACUGGAUGGCUUGAGUGUGGGAGAGGAAUGCGGAAUUCCAGGUGUAGCGGUGAAAUGCGUAGAUAUUCGGAAGAACACCAGUGGCGAAGGCGACACACUGGCCCGUAACUGACGCUGAGGCGCGAAAGCGUGGGGAGCAAACAGG
rnacentral:rRNA from 1 species